CUCACCUCCCGGGUCACGGCGGCCGGGAUGAGUCCGCGCCGCCGCCCAGCCUCCGAGUUUCCGCCCCGAGGCGCGCGGCCUCCUCAGCCCGCCCCAUCUCGCCGCUCCGAACCUCAGGGAAGCUCCGGGUCCUUCCGAGCAGUCUCCGCUGCGCAGCCCGCGCCCCUCACCCCGCCCCGCCGCGGCGCGGGCAACCAGCCCCUCAGACACGCGCCGACGCCCCCCGCCCCGCCUCCAGCCACCGCAGCAGCUGCCACGCGGGACACGGCGGGCCAAGACCCCGCGACUAAACGACUGCUGCCGUCAGUAGCGCGGGAGGUAAAGCCAGACCUCUUCCGGCUGCCUCGAGUACCCGCAGACUGAUUCCUCCUGCCCCGCAGACAGGUGCAACUAUUGCAGAGAAUUGCUAAAUAUCAAAUACCUGCAGAAUCAUGUAUUGGAGAAAUGAGAAAAUACUACCAGACUCUGCUGGGAAACAGUACUGCAGGAGGUGAAGAACAGAUGGUUGUAAGACAUAUGAAACAUCAACACUGACUGAAAGGCUUUUUCUCCUAAAACAGAAAAGAGCUGGAUCCUGUGUUGCUUAUGUGAGGCUCUUGAGUACCCGCCGUUCAAGUCCCAAACUACUGCAUGGAUUUCUAGGACUUGUACAAGCAAAAGUGAGGACAAAUUUCAGCUCAAGAAAAUGAGGACAGCACAUUUCCCUGUGAGCCACCCUUGGACCAUGCAGCAUGCGAGGGUGGCUCUCCCAGACCAUCUCCAGUGAUCAGGCGACACAUCUGAGGAUAAAUUUCAGAAAAUGAAAACAAACAAUUAUUGGUGCUUUUCAUAAAUUUCUGAAGAAAAGAAUGUAUUUCUCCCAAGUUUAAGACUGACUGCACUAUAAGUAACCAAACAAUUAUAAGAAGCUGCCCGUUGUGUUUCUGUGGUUUAGGAAAAAGGGCCAAGUCGGAAGGAAAAGACAUUCCCGGCAUUUUCUGAGGCUAGAUAAAUACAGAAAAGAAAUACAGAUGAAAGAUGGAACUGCUGUGUAUAGGCCCUGCCAGAUUCCUCGACUUUUUGGCAUACUGAUUGAAUUUGGCAAAUGUAACCAGGAACAAUCUUUUCCAAUAUAAAAAGCAGCGUAUACUUUA